AUCUACGAUCACGCCACCCUGAACAAGCCCGAUCCCGUCUGAUCUCGGAAGCCAAGCAGGGUCGGGCCCGGUUAGUACUUGGAUGGGAGACCACCUGGGAAGACCAGGCGCUGUAGGCG
rnacentral:rRNA from 1 species